GCCCCCCUCAAGAUGAGAUUUCCCAAUUCGUAAGACCCCUGGUAGACGACCAGGUUGAUAGGUUCGGGGUGGAAGCGCAGCAAUGCGUGCAGCUGACGAAUACUAAUCGGUCGAGGGCUUAUCCAAAC
rnacentral:rRNA from 1 species